UCAUAAUGCUCUUGGCUGUGAUUAUUUUUCAAGAGGUGCUGUAAUGUUCAACUUGCAAUACUGUUUCAUACUGCAAUUUGAUUUACAAAUUGCAGAUAAUUUAUAACAAGUUGUUUCAUAAAUCAUUUUAAGGCACUAUUAGGGUAGAAAUACAUUUUAGACACGUAGAAAUCUGAAAUGUUCAUCUUAUGGUUUCAACAAUGCAAAUUGAUUGGCAAAACACUUGCAUUGCACAAAAUGAAUAGCUAUUUAAUCUAUAAAUUAAGAGUCCAAGGAUAAGUUUAUCAACAUUGUAGGAGUAAGGUUUACAACGCAAACUAAUUUACAAAUAAGUUUACAAUGUCUUUUCUCGAAUGAAGAUAUUAUCAAUUAUUAUAAGACCACAUUUUUGUUGGAUAAAAUGCCCUUCAAUGUAAUGAUUCAAAGUCUCCCAACCUUGCUGAAUUGGUGCAUGACUCUAAGUUUUUACAUUAUACUUAAAUGGUCCACGGAGUGGAAGUUUAUCGACAUGUGGGGGGUUUAGAGGAGGCCAAAGAAAAAGACUUAGUGAAGGUUACUGGAGAUGGCUAGGUGAAGGGAACCUUCCUGUCUUUGGCCUUUGGGAGCAAUAUAGAUAAAACAUUUUCAAUUACUCACUUCGACCUUGUGUCUCCUUGUCAGCUUAUGUCAUAUUUGUCGGGACCAUCUCCAUUGGAUUUCUGUCAAAACUGACAACAAAUAAGAAAAAUCCUGCUCUGAAGUUUGAAUUCUAAGUUGCUGAUUUCUAUAGUUUAUUUCCACAAAUAGAUGGUGCAUGAUUUACACCCCUCUUUAAGUUUCACUCCACCUUCCAUUUUCAUAGACGUGUACUGUGGAUCGAGAAUUGGGAAGGAUGCAGUGGAUCUGGUGAUGCUUCCACUCAACACAAUGAAUUGAGUCUGAAAAGUUGAUAUUGGUUCUUCGCUUCAUGUUUCAGUAAACGGUCCUCGACUAUGGCACUCUUUUUUGCUGCUGUGCCUUUCUCAUGCGGUCUCAAUUGAGUUUUCAGCCUUGAUCGAAUAUGUCAAUUGAAGCAGAUGAUAUAACUUGUCCUGAAGAUUAAGAAGUCUUUCACGGAUUUGGUGAUCCAUGAGCAGAAAGAGUUAAGUCUAGAUGCCGCUGUACUGGCGUGGUGUUCCAAUGGAGGGCAGGUCCAAGAAGAAUAGCUUCACCCUAAAACCGCGAGAACCGGGCGAAAGAACCUUCUCCAAGAACUACUUCAGCAUAGAGUCAUUUUUAGUACUUCUCUGCCUCACUGCUUCACUGCUGAUACUUCCACUUAUACUGCCUGUUUUGCCUCCCCCUCCACUUGUCAUCCUAUUGCUCCCGAUCGGCAUACUGGUUUUGCUCAUGAUCAUGGCGUUUAUGCCUUCUGAUGUAAGAAAGAUUGCAUCUCCUUGUGAAUGAAUUCUGAGUUUGUCUAUCAUUCUGCAUUUUUUUUUGCUAUCUAAACCUUUUUUAGAAGUGUUAAAAGGAAGGAGUUUAUUCUUAAUCUUUAAUCCAGUUUAGUCUCUCA